CAAUUUUCUUCAAAGUGAUUAAUACAAAGGAAACAGUGGCAGAUAUAAGAUAAAAAAAUUCAGACAACAGCGAAUUCUCCUGUUACAUCGGGCCUUUAUAUGGUUAAAUGCCAUAAAGUUAAACUUUGCUGGCAAUAUGAAUCAUUUGCGCAUUUUCCUUGCAACACAUUCAUUGAUCGUCAUUGUAUAAGCCAUGAAGUUCAAGACUUUGACUGAUGAUAUAUCAUUUUUAUGAUGUCGAAUGAACCUGCCGUGUUGUAUUGGUAGAAAAAAACGUGAUGUAAUCUUCAGAGAUAAAGGAAGCAACGGUGAGGAUGUUGAAACCGGAACAAUUUCAAGUAGAAAAAAACGUGACAAAAUCUUCAGAAUGUUUUUCCAAGUCAAAGACGUAAAGGGUGACAGUAAAUAAAAACUAUUUCAGGAUGAAUUAUGGAUUUCAAAAAUUCCUUUUACACAGUGUAAAUGUAGCUCUAAUCGUGUAGUCAUUUUUUAUUCCUGUAAUUUUUUUUUCAAAUCAUGCAAAUUAUCACAAAAUUGUAAAUUAUGGCUUUGCAAAUCGAAAAAAGUGAAAUUAUAACUAAAGGCCUAUUUUCCAUAAA